GACGAACGCUGGCGGCGUGCUUAACACAUGCAAGUCGAACGGAAAGGCCCUGCUUUUGUGGGGUGCUCGAGUGGCGAACGGGUGAGUAACACGUGAGUAACCUGCCCUUGACUUUGGGAUAACUUCAGGAAACUGGGGCUAAUACCGGAUAGGAGCUCCUGCUGCAUGGUGGGGGUUGGAAAGAUUCGGCGGUGGGGGAUGGACUCGCGGCUUAUCAGCUUGUUGGUGGGGUAGUGGCUUACCAAGGCUUUGACGGGUAGCCGGCCUGGGAGCGUGACCGGCCACAUUGGGCCUGAGGUACGGCCCAGACUCCUACCGGCGGCAGCAGUGGGGAGUAUUGCACAAUGGGCGGAAGCCUGAUGCAGCAGCGCCGCGUGCGGGAUGACGGCCUUCGGGUUGUAAACCGCUUUCGCCUGUGACGAAGCGUGAGUGACGGUAAUGGGUAAAGAAGCACCGGCUAACUACGUG
rnacentral:rRNA from 1 species